AGAAGGGCGAGACACCAUAUUGCUUACGGAGAGAACGGCGUACGUUGCGUGCACUUGGUCAAACGUAGUGAAAUCGACAGAAGUAGCUGAAUAACUCAAAAAGAGCGGUUCAGAGAGGGGAGAUCCUGCUCUGGCUCCUUUCUCACCUCUGUACGGUUGGCCAAUCACAACGUAGAGGGACUGGGGUUAUCGGACUGUCUGUUUCAGAAA